rnacentral:rRNA from 1 species
CUGGCUCCUCGGAGCAUUGUGCACGCCCGCCAUUUUUAUCUAUCCACCUGUGCACCGAAUGUAGGUCUGGAUGACUCUCGCCUUCGGGCGGAUGCGAGGUUUGCGUUUUGCGUGCGAGCGCUCUCCUCGAAUUUCCAGGCUCUACGUCUCUUUACACACCCCAAACGUAUGAUGCAGAAUGUAGUCAAUGGGCCUUUACAAGCCUAUAAAACACUAUACAACUUUCAGCAACGGAUCUCUUGGCUCUCGCAUCGAUGAAGAACGCAGCGAAAUGCGAUAAGUAAUGUGAAUUGCAGAAUUCAGUGAAUCAUCGAAUCUUUGAACGCACCUUGCGCUCCUUGGUAUUCCGAGGAGCAUGCCUGUUUGAGUGUCAUUAAAUUCUCAACCUCACCGGUUUUCUGAACCGUUCUCCGAGGCUUGGAUGUGGGGGUCUGUGCAGGUCGCCUCAGCGCGGUCUGCUCCCCUGAAAUGCAUUAGCGAGAUUCAUUCUGGACCUCCGUCUAUCGGUGUGAUAAUUAUCUACGUCGUUGACUUGGUUCGGACUCGCUUCUAACCGUCCGCGAGGACAACAUACUUGACAA